GAGGGUAUAGCUCAGUGGUAGAGUGUGUGCCUAACACGCACGAGGUCCUGGGUUCAAUUCCAAGUAUCUCCA